GAUGAACGCUGGCGGCGUGCCUAAUACAUGCAAGUCGAGCGCGCGGCGGACGGGUGAGUAAUGUCUGGGACACUGCUUGAUGGCGGGGGAUAACUACGGGAAACGGUACCUAAUACCGCAUACCAUCAAAUUUGCCCUGAUUGGACUAGCUAGUAGGUGGGGUAACGGCUAACCAAGGCGACGAUCCCUAGCUGGUCUGAGAGGAUGACCAGCCACACUGGAACUGAGACACGGUCCAGACUCCUACGGGAGGCAGCAGUAGGGAAUCUUCCACAAUGGGCGCAAGCCUGAUGCAGCCAUGCCGCGUGUAUGAAGAAGGUCUUCGGGUUGUAAAGCACUUUCAUCGGGGAGGCGUUACCCGCAGAGGAAGCCCCGGCUAACUCCGUGCCAGCAGCCGCGGUAAUUC
rnacentral:rRNA from 1 species